rnacentral:rRNA from 1 species
GGAAUCAACGCUGGCGGCGUGCCUAACACAUGCAAGUCGAACGAGAAAGUGGAGCAAUCCAUGAGUAAAGUGGCGCACGGGUGAGUAACACGUGACUAACCUACCUUUUAGUGGGGGAUAACCUAGGGAAACCUGGGCUAAUACCGCAUAACACUUACGAGUCAAAGCAGCAAUGCGCUGAAAGAGGGGGUCGCGGCCGAUUAGCUAGUUGGCGGGGUAAUGGCCCACCAAGGCAGUGAUCGGUA